GGCGCGAACCCUCCUCAAUGACCUAACGUGUGAAGGGUUACCUCGAGUGCUACCUGAAGAAGGUGGCUUUUCCUUGGUCUAAAAAGCCUUGGGAAUAAGAGGGGGGCAAGACUGGUGUCAGCCGCCGCGGUAACACCAGCCCCUCGAGUGGUGGGGAUGAUUAUUGGCCUAGAGCGUCCGUAGCCUGUUAAGUAAGUUUUCCGUCAAAUCCAAUGUCUCAAGCUUUGGUCUGCGGGAAAUACUGUUUAACUAGAGAGUGGGAGAGGUCAGCGGUAUUCUGGGGGUAGGGGCGAAAUCCUUUGAUCCCCGGAGGACCACCAGUGGCGAAGGCUGCUGACUAGCACACGUCUGACGGUCAGGGACGAAAGCUGGGGUAGCGAACCGGAUUAGAUACCCGGGUAGCCCCAGCUGUAAACGAUGCAUGCUAGGUGUUGGGUUGGCCACGAGCCACCCCGGUGCCGCAGGGAAGCCGUUAAGCAUGCCGCCUGGGAAGUACGAUCGCAAGAUUGAAACUUAAAGGAAUUGGCGGGGGAGCACCACCAGGCGUGAAGCCUGCGGUUUAAUUGGAGUCAACGCCGGGAAUCUUACCGGAAGCGACAGCAGAGUGAAGGCCAGAUUGAAGAUCUUGCCAGACGAGCUGAGAGGAGGUGCAUGGCCGUCGCCAGUUCGUGCCGUGAGGUGUUCUCUUAAGUGAGAUAACGAACGAGACCCGUGCCACAUGUUGCCAUCAGAAUCUAAAGGAUUGCUGGGCACUCUUGUGGGACCGCAGCCGAUAAGGCUGAGGAAGGAGCGGGCAACGGCAGGUCAGUAUGCCCCGAAUCUUCCGGGCCACACGCGGGCUGCAAUGGUAUGGACAGAGGGCUGCAACCCCGAAAGGGGAAGCCAAUCCCUAAACCAUACCUCAGUUGGGAU
rnacentral:rRNA from 1 species